CAAAUCAAACUGACAAAUUGAUUACUAGAGCAAAACCAAAGUGGAAGUAUAGAUAGAUUCUCUAAUCCCCCCUCACCUUGCUCAGAAUCGGCUGAGUUUUUUUUUUUUUUGACCUUUUGGGAGGGAAGAGGCGGCGGCGUUUGUCUAGCAGGGGAAGAUCCCCUUCUGCAGUCAUGCAAGGCCGGCACCACCCAGAUUAGUUUGGAGGUACGAUUGGUUUAUUUACCUUUGCAGCUCAGCGUCUGCUAGAUUUAUCUGCCUUGUCAUCGACGAGCAAUCCUGAAAUCUUCUUGGAUUUGCGCAUUGGGAGUAAAUCUGUUCCAUUCCCGCUUUGUAGCCGCAUGAAACUACUAUGUAUAUAUAAUAAGUAUAAUCCCAAAAGGAACACGAAGCAGUUGUUUUCUACGGUGCAUCUCGCAUCUUUUGUUUGGUGUAACAUUUGCUGUCUUGUAGAUUCAUUAUUUGUCAGCAGGAUGUAGGCAAGACACGCUCAGCUGAUGGCAAAACACGGGGGGCAAUUGAUAAAGAGUUAUCACAAAUC
rnacentral:lncRNA from 1 species